rnacentral:rRNA from 1 species
CCUACGGGAGGCAGCAGUGGGGAAUCUUGCACAAUGGGGGAAACCCUGAUGCAGCGACGCCGCGUGAGCGACGAAGCCCUUCGGGGUGUAAAGCUCUUUCGGCAGGGACGAUAAUGACGGUACCUGCAGAAGAAGCUGCGGCUAACUACGUGCCAGCAGCCGCGGUAAUACGUAGGCAGCGAGCGUUGUUCGGAAUUACUGGGCGUAAAGCGUGCGUAGGCGGUCGGCUAAGUUUGGUGUGAAAUCUCCCGGCUCAACCGGGAGGGUGCGCCGAAAACUGGCCGGCUAGAGUGCGGGAGAGGGAAGUGGAAUUCCUGGUGUAGCGGUGAAAUGCGUAGAUAUCAGGAGGAACACCGGUGGUGAAGACGGCUUCCUGGACCGUGACUGACGCUGAGGCACGAAAGCGUGGGGAGCAAACAGGAUUAGAUACCCUAGUAGU